rnacentral:rRNA from 1 species
UACGGGGGGUGCGAGCGUUGUCCGGAAUCACUGGGCUUAAAGCGUGUGUAGGUGGAUGUCUAAGUACCUUGUGAAAUCCCACGGCUCAACCGUGGAACUGCUCGGUAUACUGGAUGUCUUGAGCCACUUAGGGGCUACCGGAACAAAUGGUGGAGCGGUGAAAUGCGUAGAUAUCAUUUGGAACGCCAAUGGUGAAAACAGGUAGCUGGGAGUGUGCUGACACUGAGACACGAAAGCCAGGGGAGCGAACGGG